CCCCCCCUUUAUUAGACACAACGUGCCGGCAUAUAACGCUACGCUGAUAAUGAAGCCUUUCGUAAACAGCAGGCACAUGGGUACAACUGAAUAGAAACCACAAUGCAAAGAUAGUGUCGUGUCGAUUGUUCUGGUAGGAGAUUAAUGUAUAGGGGUCGGUCUGUUGGCCUACAGAAAGAAACCGAAAGUGGGACGGGACUGAAACUGGGACUGACCCACAGAAAUGCACAAAACGAGGCGCGAAUCGGAGCCGAAGAGACAGGGGCGGGUAGCUUUAAAGCUGACCAGCGCCACCAGGUAAACGACCGAAACGAAACAGAUCGCUGGACGUUCAAAUCGCGCGAGCUCUGAGGGUGAUCGUGCCAACGAGAUCGGUGGAGAGAGAGAGAGCGCAGCGCGAACACGACCGUGCUGUCCAGUCAAUAUGCGAAACCGAACUGAGACGCUAAAAAGGUGAUUAAAUUGUAAAUGUUUCGUGCGAUUCCGAUUUUAAAAUAAAAGUAUAAAGUAUAUGAUCGCUGGGGCAAGAGCUGAGCGCAAGUGCCACGCGACUGAUCGAGUGCCUGGUGCAUGGUCUAUUCGUAAGGUGAGGCAUUGGCCAGUUGCUACUCCAUCAUCUAUAAUAAAACUCACUCACUAAACCCUUGACUGAGACACAAAUAUACAGGUGCGCUCUGUAGACUUACUGUUAUAUAAACUCAAUAAUAAACUCAUUAACAGGGCAAUAACAGUGGCAGACAGACAGUUUACAGUCGCUUAACAAAGGCUUUGUUUGCAGACUGUGGAUUGCCAGACCACUUCAAAACGAAACAUUUUGGCAAACACACUAAUUGAUUAACAGCGCAUUUCCGCAUCGCUGCCGGCCCCCCCAUUGGUGGGACCUGGGGCGGAGGAGGCCGCGGCACUGCUGAGACGACCACUGUUUACAUGCAG